GUGACUUGCCAUCUGGAAAGAGCACAGAGAAGCCCUGUGAUGGAAGUGACAGGCGUCUAGUAGAUAACGUAACCGGGUAGUGCACUGGCCAGUCUGAGCUCUUCAUACCUGACCUCUCCAGUCGCCUUGAGCCAAGGGCUGAUGGACGCAAAGGAGCCAAAAGAUACAGCCAUGCAGGGAGGGUCCUCAGUGGGUCCUGGACAGCAGAACGUUUUCAGAAGCUGAAAGAGAGAUUCAUCAAAUUGCCCGGCUGGCAAAUCUGGAUGAGAACCUCAGGCUCUCCACCCCUGCGGCGGAAACUCUGAAGCACCCACUGGAGAAUUCUUGGAAAACCCGUGGAUUCACAGGAAAAGGAAGGAUGAAGUUGUGCACAGCAGGCACGGUGUCAAGAUGCCCGGUGUGCGUAUGGUUUGCUCACUGUCGCCCCCAGGGACCGUGUGUUGUCCGCUGCCCCACCCUCAUCCCAGAAGAAUGCUUUCGUACGGUGAAUACUCGGCAGAUGGAAGGAAAAACAAACACAGAGAAAUGAAGUACCCAGCAUGGCCCCUGACGUCAGAGCUGGGGUGGUUUGCAUGGGCGAUGUUCCAGCCUUCUGGUCCCCCGUCCUGACCGUUCGAGGCC
rnacentral:lncRNA from 1 species